rnacentral:tmRNA from 1 species
GGGGAUGACAGGCUUCGACGGAGGAGGCUGGUCCCGGGUGGCGAGUCGAGAGGAGCCGAACUCGUAAAAUCAGCUCAAAAAAUCAAGUGCCAACAAUCGCACUUACUCUGCACUGCCCCUGGCUGCGUAAGUAGCUAAGUAGUGUGGAUGGCUCCAACAGUGAGCCACGUCUGCCAGCAACGCUCUUUGACCGCUCGCUGGACAGGCGCCACAAAGUCAAAGUGCCAGGCGGAAAUGUCGCGGUCCGCCUGAAAGAAAGGCCUUCGGGCCUGAGUGACUGGUUGAAUGCCCGUUUUGUUGGUCUCCGGACAUUCAACGAGACUAAGGACCAACUACACUCGUAGAAGCUCGAGGAUCGAAUCUUUCGGACGCGAGUUCAAUUCUCGCCAUCUCCACUG